ensembl:snRNA U1 U1 spliceosomal RNA
AUACCUCCCUGGCAGGGAAGACACCAUGAUCACAAAGGUGGUUUUCUCGAUGCGAGGCUUAUCCAUUGCACUCAGGAUUUGCUGACUCCUGCAAUUUCCCCAAAUGUGAGAAACUUCACCUGCAUGC